rnacentral:rRNA from 1 species
GACGAACGCUGGCGGCGUGCCUAAUACAUGCAAGUCGAACGCUUCUUUCCUCCCGAGUGCUUACACUCAAUUGGAAAGAGGAGUGGCGGACGGGUGAGUAACACGUGGGUAACCUACCCAUCAGAGGGGGAUAACACUUGGAAACAGGUGCUAAUACCGCAUAACAGUUUAUGCCGCAUGGCAUAAGAGUGAAAGGCGCUUUCGGGUGUCGCUGAUGGAUGGACCCGCGGUGCAUUAGCUAGUUGGUGAGGUAACGGCUCACCAAGGCCACGAUGCAUAGCCGACCUGAGAGGGUGAUCGGCCACACUGGGACUGAGACACGGCCCAGACUCCUACGGGAGGCAGCAGUAGGGAAUCUUCAGCAAUGGACGAAAGUCUGACCGAGCAACGCCGCGUGAGUGAAGAAGGUUUUCGGAUCGUAAAACUCUGUUGUUAGAGAAGAACAAGGACGUUAGUAACUGAACGUCCCCUGACGGUAUCUAACCAGAAAGCCACGGCUAACUACGUG